CCUACGGGUGGCAGCAGUGAGGAAUAUUGGUCAAUGGGCGGGAGCCUGAACCAGCCCAGUCGCGUGAGGGACGACGGUCCUAUGGAUUGUAAACCUCUUUUGUCGGGGAACAAAGGCGCCCCCGGGUGGGCUGAUGAGUGUACCCGAAGAAAAAGCAUCGGCUAACUCCGUGCCAGCAGCCGCGGUAAUACGGGGGAUCCGAGCGUUAUCCGGAUUUAUUGGGUUUCAAGGGUGAGUCGGCGGCCGGUCAAGUCAGCGGUAAAAAUGCGGUGCUCAACGCCGUACAGCCGUUGAAACUGGGAGUCUUGAGUGGGCGAGAAGUAUGCGGAAUGCGUGGUGUAGCGGUGAAAUGCAUAGAUAUCACGCAGAACUCCGAUUGCGAAGGCAGCAUACCGGCGCCCUACUGACGCUGAGGCACGAAAGCGUGGGUAUCGAACAGGAUUAGAUACCCCUGUAGUC
rnacentral:rRNA from 1 species